GCGUCGGGGCGCAGCGUCUACCCGCGGUGCAUGGUGGGGCCGUUGCUUCGGACAACUCGGGCCUCGCCCGCCCGGAGGCCGUGAGGAGUGGUUGCGGCGGCGGAAUGAACCGGGCCUCCGCGCCGUCCGCGCCCCUGGCGAGCCCCGACUACUACGAAAGGCUGGGCCGCCUCCAGCACGGGCUGCGGGACAGUGAAAAGAAGAGAUUGGACCUGGAAGGGAAACUCUAUGAAUAUAAUCAAUCUGAUACAUGCAGAGUUAAGCUGAAGUAUUUAAAACUAAAGAAAUACCUGAAGGAAAUAUGUGAAUCAGAAAAGAAGGCUCGUACUCGAAACCAAGAAUAUUUAAAGCGGUUUGAGCGGGUCCAGGCUCACGUUGGACACUUUACUACAAAUUCAGAGAAACUGCAAGAACUGAAGAUUGAAUAUGAGACUCAAAUUAAGAAGAUACAGCUACUCUCAAAAGAUAGCCUGGGAAAAAAAGGUGAACUGAAAGAUGAAGACAGAGAAAAGGUUGUAAUGCCGGCAGAAAUUAACUCAGGGACCGCCGCGUCAAGAGGAUUGUAUCAACCAGCAACAAUCUUUAUGGGCCGCCAAGUGUCAGCCGUCUCAGGCGUUGGAGAUUUCAGUACAGAGCAGAAAUCUCCCCAACCCACAAAGAACUUUUCAAUUCCUGACCCACAUUCACACCAACAGACAGCCCGGAGCAGUAAUGUGACAGACAGCUAUGUAGUACAAAUUCAUAGUGACACACAGUGCUUAAAUAAGUCUGACAGAAUAGAUGGAAAGACAUCUCUUCAGAUGGGUGAGAAAACGCCAGUCACAGCCAGCGCGUUGUCUGAGGAGGAACAAACUCAUUGCUUGGAGAUAGGAAGCAACGCACGUCAGGGCAAGAGUAAUUUAUCUGAAGGCAGAAAGUCUGCCGAACUCCAUUCCCCAUUACAGGAGAGAUUAAGUCCAGAGAACAGAACCACUGAUUUAAAGUGUGACAGUUCCAGCAGAUCAGAGGGAUCAGAGGGAGAAAUACUGACACGGGAGCAUAUUGAAGUCGAGGAAGAAAGAGCCAGACCGCCAGUCUCUCUGCCGUCAGGCUCAGAAUACAGUGCAUCUGAAAUCGAGUGUUCUCAAGAGAAGCAUCCUGCCUGGGAAGCUUCCUCAGAUCAUCCUCCUCGCCGGGACCCAGAGGCACAGGAGCCCUGCAGAAAAAUGUGGGAAGAGCAGGAGGAGGAGAGUGAGAGCAGCAGCAGUGACCUCACAGUUUCUGUAAGUGAAGAGGAUCUGAUUUUAAGGAGUCCAGAACCACAGCCAAAUCCGGGUGACAUGGUGGAGGAAGAAGAUGGAAUAGAGGCCUUAAAUUUAAUUCACUCCAAGCAAGAAAGAGAUGCCCCAUCCACUGAAAAACAUAAUUAUAUUUUGCAAACCCUGAGCUCUCCAGAUUCAAAAAAGGAAUCCUCCACUAACUCGCCAACAAGAGAGCUGUGUAAUCGCAGUGACAUUCUGAGAAAAGACCUUGACGCCUGUGAAGCAGCUGUCCUUCACCAGAUCCCCAGACUCUCCCCUGGGGGUGGCAGCAACGAAAAGCAAGUCAGGUUUGAACAAGCACCAGCCUCAGGUUUGUGGAGGACACCAUCGGGUCAGUGUGUUACCACCUUGAAAAGACAUGAUAAUUCUGUCCAAGAAGAGGUGGUCGCGAAGCUGUCUGAAGUUUUCCCAGUCAAAAAUGUGGACCAGAGGACAAGGGCAACAGCAUUAUUGAAAAAAGGCCUCACAGGAGAGCAUAAGGAUAGGUCGGCUGUUCACAGCAGUGAAUCAUCUUGCAGCUUGCCAUCCACUCUGAAUGACAACAGUGGAAUGAAGAACGGAAAGCCUGCUCUGUGGCUCAGCAGUGUUCCUACAAGGGAACGAGAAGUUUCCAAUGGCUGCGGAGACGAGAGCGCAGAAGAAAGCGUGGCAGCGAGGAUGCCAGUCACAGGUGUAAUUGUUGAAUCGCCCCAUAGAAAUUCAGAAUGUGAUGGAAACAUCUAUUUCCUGAAGCAUCUCCAGGCAGCUCAUCUGAACGGGGAGCAUUUCCCUUCUCCGUGCAUCUGCCCUCCCUGUGUGAGGACGGAGGAAACCUGGACAAGAGGCUCCCAGGCCCAGGAUUGCUGGGAUUUCUGCGAAAGCCAGGCCAGCCAGGCCGAGCCUCUGCCUUGGAGACAGAGACACCCCUCAGAGGCUGGGGAAACACGUGUUUAUCUGGCUCUUGUAAUGGGUUGUUAAAAGCACUUGUUCGCCAGAUAUUUUCUUUUUCUUUUUAUUUGGUAGAUUUAGAAGUAUUUUAGCAGGUGUACAUUUGCAUAUAAAAGAGAAUGAAAGAUAAGAAGUUGAGGCUUUUUCUUUCUCUCCUCAGCAUCAUCGCUCUCCUGCCUCCCUUUAUUCAGCACAUUUUCAUUUUCUUUCUCUGUUCCCAUUUUCUAGACAAAAUGCGUAUCAAAAAGAAAAAAAAAGUCUCGGUGAUCCAUCACCACUUGGCAGGAAGAUAGGUGAUGGGGUUCAGCCAGCUUGUGUAACAGAAAACGAAAGCCUACCAGAUGCUGAAACAGUCUACCCUUCAGGACAGUGCACACCAAGCUGAAGAUGGAUUCCAGAAGGCCGAGGCCUCUGCAUCACUGUCAGGUUUGAAUAUUGGCAGCGGUACAUUCAAGACAAAGACAACUCACAAGAUCUCUUCAGAAGCGAGUUUUUCGUCUAGCGAAGGCAGUCCUUUGUCAAGG